UGCCCAGCAACUCCUAUCCCUACCUCCUAGUGGUACUGCCUGGGGUAUGAGUAACCUUAGGGAAGA
rnacentral:ribozyme from 1 species